rnacentral:tRNA from 1 species
GCCUGGGUGGCUCAGUAGGUUGAGCGUCCGAAUUCAGCUCAGGUCAUAGUCUCGUGGUUUGGGGGUUCGAGCCCCCCGUCGGGCU